rfam:Tyto alba contig171344, whole genome shotgun sequence.
UAUACAAAGCAUAUGAUGAGAAAACACUGAAACUUGACCCUGUAUGAAGUAUAUUCAGUCCAACGCUGAGCUUUGUGUC